rnacentral:rRNA from 1 species
GUAAGGAAUAUUGGACAAUGGACGCAAGUCUGAUCCAGCCAUGCCGCGUGAAGGAUUAAGGUCCUCUGGAUUGUAAACUUCUUUUAUAAGGGACGAAAAAAGGCUUUUCUAAGUCGUCUGACGGUACCUUAUGAAUAAGCACCGGCUAACUCCGUGCCAGCAGCCGCGGUAAUACGGAGGGUGCAAGCGUUAUCCGGAUUCACUGGGUUUAAAGGGUGCGUAGGCGGGCAGGUAAGUCAGUGGUGAAAUCCUAGAGCUUAACUCUAGAACUGCCAUUGAUACUAUCUGUCUUGAAUAUUGUGGAGGUAAGCGGAAUAUGUCAUGUAGCUGUGAAAUGCUUAGAUAUGACAUAGAACACCUAUUGCGAAGGCAGCUUACUACGCAUAUAUUGACGCUGAGGCACGAAAGCGUGGGGAUCAAACAGGAUUAGAAACCCGUGUAGUCC